UAAGUUAGAAAGGGCGCACGGUGGAUGCCUUGACACUAGGAGUCGAUGAAGGACGGGACUAACGCCGAUAUGCUUCGGGGAGCUGUAAGUAAGCUUUGAUCCGAAGAUUUCCGAAUGGGGAAACCCACCAUACGUAAUGGUAUGGUAUCCUUAUCUGAAUACAUAGGGUAAGGAAGACAGACCCAGGGAACUGAAACAUCUAAGUACCUGGAGGAAGAGAAAGCAAAUGCGAUUUCCUGAGUAGCGGCGAGCGAAACGGAACAUAGCCCAAACCAAGAGGCUUGCCUCUUGGGGUUGUAGGACAUUCUAUACGGAGUUACAAAGGAACGAGGUAGACGAAGCGACCUGGAAAGGUCCGUCGUAGAGGGUAACAACCCCGUAGUCGAAACUUCGUUCUCUCUUGAAUGUAUCCUGAGUACGGCGGAACACGUGAAAUUCCGUCGGAAUCUGGGAGGACCAUCUCCCAAGGCUAAAUACUCCCUAGUGAUCGAUAGUGAACCAGUACCGUGAGGGAAAGGUGAAAAGCACCCCGGAAGGGGAGUGAAAGAGAUCCUGAAACCGUGUGCCUACAAAUAGUCAGAGCCCGUUAACGGGUGAUGGCGUGCCUUUUGUAGAAUGAACCGGCGAGUUACGAUCCCGUGCGAGGUUAAGCUGAAGAGGCGGAGCCGCAGCGAAAGCGAGUCUGAAUAGGGCGUUUAGUACGUGGUCGUAGACCCGAAACCAGGUGAUCUACCCAUGUCCAGGGUGAAGUUCAGGUAACACUGAAUGGAGGCCCGAACCCACGCACGUUGAAAAGUGCGGGGAUGAGGUGUGGGUAGCGGAGAAAUUCCAAUCGAACCUGGAGAUAGCUGGUUCUCCCCGAAAUAGCUUUAGGGCUAGCCUUAAGUGUAAGAGUCUUGGAGGUAGAGCACUGAUUGGACUAGGGGUCCUCAUCGGAUUACCGAAUUCAGUCAAACUCCGAAUGCCAAUGACUUAUCCUUAGGAGUCAGACUGCGAGUGAUAAGAUCCGUAGUCAAAAGGGAAACAGCCCAGACCGCCAGCUAAGGUCCCAAAGUGUGUAUUAAGUGGAAAAGGAUGUGGAGUUGCUUAGACAACUAGGAUGUUGGCUUAGAAGCAGCCACCAUUUAAAGAGUGCGUAAUAGCUCACUAGUCGAGUGACUCUGCGCCGAAAAUGUACCGGGGCUAAAUACACCACCGAAGCUGCGGAUUGAUACCGAAUGGUAUCAGUGGUAGGGGAGCGUUCUAAGGACAGUGAAGUCAGACCGGAAGGACUGGUGGAGUGCUUAGAAGUGAGAAUGCCGGUAUGAGUAGCGAAAGACGGGUGAGAAUCCCGUCCACCGAAUGCCUAAGGUUUCCUGAGGAAGGCUCGUCCGCUCAGGGUUAGUCAGGACCUAAGCCGAGGCCGACAGGCGUAGGCGAUGGACAACAGGUUGAUAUUCCUGUACCACCUCUUUAUCGUUUGAGCAAUGGAGGGACGCAGAAGGAUAGAAGAAGCGUGCGAUUGGUUGUGCACGUCCAAGCAGUUAGGCUGAUAAGUAGGCAAAUCCGCUUAUCGUAAAGGCUGAGCUGUGAUGGGGAAGCUCCUUAUGGAGCGAAGUCUUUGAUUCCCCGCUGCCAAGAAAAGCUUCUAGUGAGAUAAAAGGUGCCUGUACCGCAAACCGACACAGGUAGGCGAGGAGAGAAUCCUAAGGUGUGCGAGAGAACUCUGGUUAAGGAACUCGGCAAAAUGACCCCGUAACUUCGGGAGAAGGGGUGCUUUCUUAACGGAAAGCCGCAGUGAAUAGGCCCAAGCGACUGUUUAGCAAAAACACAGCUCUCUGCGAAGCCGUAAGGCGAAGUAUAGGGGGUGACACCUGCCCGGUGCUGGAAGGUUAAGGAGAGGGGUUAGCGUAAGCGAAGCUCUGAACUGAAGCCCCAGUAAACGGCGGCCGUAACUAUAACGGUCCUAAGGUAGCGAAAUUCCUUGUCGGGUAAGUUCCGACCCGCACGAAAGGUGUAACGAUUUGGGCACUGUCUCAACCAGAGACUCGGUGAAAUUAUAGUACCUGUGAAGAUGCAGGUUACCCGCGACAGGACGGAAAGACCCCGUGGAGCUUUACUGUAGCCUGAUAUUGAAUUUUGGUACAGUUUGUACAGGAUAGGCGGGAGCCUUUGAAACCGGAGCGCUAGCUUCGGUGGAGGCGCUGGUGGGAUACCGCCCUGACUGUAUUGAAAUUCUAACCUACGGGUCUUAUCGACCCGGGAGACAGUGUCAGGUGGGCAUUUUGACUGGGGCGGUCGCCUCCUAAAGUGUAACGGAGGCGCCCAAAGGUUCCCUCAGAAUGGUUGGAAAUCAUUCGUAGAGUGCAAAGGCAUAAGGGAGCUUGACUGCGAGACCUACAAGUCGAGCAGGGACGAAAGUCGGGCUUAGUGAUCCGGUGGUUCCGCAUGGAAGGGCCAUCGCUCAACGGAUAAAAGCUACCCCGGGGAUAACAGGCUUAUCUCCCCCAAGAGUCCACAUCGACGGGGAGGUUUGGCACCUCGAUGUCGGCUCAUCGCAUCCUGGGGCUGUAGUCGGUCCCAAGGGUUGGGCUGUUCGCCCAUUAAAGCGGUACGCGAGCUGGGUUCAGAACGUCGUGAGACAGUUCGGUCCCUAUCCGUCGUGGGCGUAGGAAAUUUGAGAGGAGCUGUCCUUAGUACGAGAGGACCGGGAUGGACGCACCGCUGGUGUACCAGUUGUUCUGCCAAGGGCAUAGCUGGGUAGCUAUGUGCGGAAGGGAUAAGUGCUGAAAGCAUCUAAGCAUGAAGCCCCCCUCAAGAUGAGAUUUCCCAUAGCGUAAGCUAGUAAGAUCCCUGAAAGAUGAUCAGGUUGAUAGGUUCGAGGUGGAAGCAUGGUGACAUGUGGAGCUGACGAAUACUAAUAGAUCGAGGACUUAACCA
rnacentral:rRNA from 1 species